rnacentral:rRNA from 1 species
AUUGAACGCUGGCGGCAGGCUUAACACAUGCAAGUCGAGCGAGCGGCGGACGGGUGAGUAAUGUCUGGGAAACUGCCUGAUGGAGGGGGAUAACUACUGGAAACGGUAGCUACUACCGCCUCCCAUCAGAUGUGCCCAGAUGGGAUUAGUUAGUAGGUGGGGUAAUGGCUCACCUAGGCGACGAUACCUAGCUGGUCUGAGAGGAUGACCAGCCACACUGGCACUGAGACACGGUCCAGACUCCUACGUGAGGCAGGAGUCGGGAUUAUUGCACAAGGGGCGCUAGCCUGAUGCAGCCAUGCCGGGUGUGUGAAGAAGGCCUUCGGGUUGUAAAGCACUUUCAGCGAGGAGGCGGUACUUGCAGAAGAAGCACCGGCUAACUCCGUGCCAGCAGCCGCGGUAAUAC